CCACACCCAGCCGCCGCAUCCUAUCUGUUUCCCUUCCUUCUCUCAGUAACGCAACACACACAGCAGCAACAACUGCAAAAGGAAGCCAAGAAAAGAAAGGGUUAGGGAAAAAUGGGAAGAAGGAGAGGGGAGAGGGGGAGGACGGCGCCGGCGAGGAGCCACUAUCGCCGCCACCGCAUUGUCGCUGGGUCUCGGAGGGAGACCGUGCUUGGGACUGUCGUCGUCAAGUCACCACGAGCCGCCGAUCGCGCUCCAGUUUAGCUCGCCGACCAGCCGCAUUCUGCCACCACGUCCAGCUCCUCGCCGUCGCGCUACCGAUUUGCCGCCGAUUCUGUCAUCCGCGCCGUCGCCCUUACUGCGAGACCAGCGCCGCCGUUUCCAUCCUUGCACGAGAAUAGGUAGAGGCUAGCAGUGGAGGGCGGCGCAUGAGAGGGAGUUUGUGGUGAAGGGAGAGUGGCGCCGUCUUGUACGCUGCCGUUACACCUGGAUGCCGCCGCCGCUACUGCGAGCUCGCCGUCGCCGAAGCUGGGUAGUUAUUGUCCUUGCCAGCAGCGAAGAAGAAGAAGCGAGAUGAAACCCCCAGUGUCUGCUGCUUCGGUUUGCCGAGAAAGAGCUUGGCGCUGCCGGAGUUGCUGUCUGCCUCUGCCUCGGGGUUCUGCGAGUUGCCGGAGCCCACUGUCGCCGGAGCUGCCCAGAACCACCACUGUGGCUGCCGCUGGGAGUGUGAACGGAAGGGGGAGAAGCUGGUUCUGUCAUAGCCAUUCCUGGGGGAGAAAUUAUCCGUGCCACUGUACCCUGGCGCUGGGAAACGCCACUACCGCGACCAAGUUCCACCGCCGGAGUUUCUGACUACUUCUGCCAUUGCCGGAAAAGUUGCAAUUGAUCCGCCGGAGCUUCUGGCCGCCGCCGGAGCUGUUACUGGGCCGGUUCGAAAUCGCAGUUGCCUCAUUGUGUUGUUUCGUGUUGCUAUGGUUAUUGCGAACGUGGCUUGGAACCGAGGUUUUGGCUGCUGGGAUUUUGAUUGUUGAUUUUGGGUCGAGGCAGAAAGGAUUCUGUGACGCGUUUGGGUUAUGAAAUUGCGUUUUGAGGAUUUGGGCGCAGAAGUUAUGAAGAGUUUAAUUAUUUGUUAUUGAGAUGCUCUGUAUUGCUUUAGAUUAUUAUUUUGUACCCUCGUCUUUAUCUUGAUAUAUUCUGUGAGAGGGAUAGGAAUUGUACUGGAUGAUGUUUGUAAUAUUAUUUAUAUAUAUGUAUGUAUAUAUAUAUGGAUGUACUCUUUAUGAGUUUUCUGUAAGUGGUAUGGUAUGUAUGGACGUACGUUGUAUGGCGAAAGUAUUUUUGGGAAUGGUAUUGCGGUUUAAAGUUUUUAAACAGGCUCAUAUUUUAGUAUUAAAUAGUAUAAGUGUCGUCGUAAUGUCCGAGCUACCAGAGUUGCGCAGCCGGAAGCGUGAGCUUUGGUAGUUAGGGUGUUACAUUUUGCUUCUUGAUAUUCCUUAUUAUAGACUUCUUGUCUAUGAUCUAUAAUAUUUUUUCCAAAAAAUUCUUUAUAUAGAAUCAUCAUUAUAUAUAAUAUCUUAUCAUAAGCUGUUGUUUU